rnacentral:lncRNA from 1 species
UUUGUCUGUUUGUCUUUUUUUAUUUAUUAGCCAUGGCGUUAUCAGUUUAUUUUAGAUUUAUGAGUUUGACUGUCCCUUUGCUAUCCGUCGUCCCUCUUUUUUUAAUAACUUAUGCACAUAAAGAUUUAGUUAAUAACUUCUGUAUAUAAGGAAUAAGUUAAUAUCUUUUGUACACUCAGCAUGCUCAUGGUGACAUGUAUUCGAAUCC